AGGAUGAAGACCCCUUCACCCCCUUCACCAGCUGGACCCAGAGCCCGUCGCUCUCCUCGCCCAGCUAAGACCGUCCAGACGCCAUUUCCCUCAUCAACCAGCUGGCCCUGGAUCAUCGAUGACGGACUCUCCACCUCUUGUUCCCCAGCUAAAAAAGUUAUUCAGCCAGUUACUGUGAGUGUUAGGGCCAGUCAUAGU